rnacentral:rRNA from 1 species
AACGAACGCUGGCGGCAUGCCUAACACAUGCAAGUCGAACGAGACCUUCGGGUCUAGUGGCGCACGGGUGCGUAACGCGUGGGAACCUGCCCUUAGGUUCGGAAUAACUCCCCGAAAGGGGUGCUAAUACCGGAUAAUGUCUUCGGACCAAAGAUUUAUCGCCUUUGGAUGGGCCCGCGUUGGAUUAGCUAGUUGGUAGGGUAAAAGCCUACCAAGGCGACGAUCCAUAGCUGGUCUGAGAGGAUGAUCAGCCACACUGGGACUGAGACACGGCCCAGACUCCUACGGGAGGCAGCAGGGGGGAAUAUUGGACAAUGGGCGAAAGCCUGACCAAGCAAGGCCGGGUGAGGGAUGAAGGCUUUGGGGUUGAAAAGCUCUUUUACCCGGGAUGAUAAGGACAGUACCGGGAGAAAAAGCUCCGGCUAACUCCGG